AUGCGCGCAUCCCAGCUGCCUGCAGUACCCGUUUGCCUCCAGAAGGUGGCGGGAGAGGGCACCCGCGGGCGCCACCGCGCAUGCGCGGCCCCCGGGCGCCUGCAGUACCCGAUUGCUUCCAGCAGGUGGCGGCAGAGGGCGCCAGCGGGAGGGCUUGUCGGGCGGAUUACAGCUCGCCUACUGUGCCAUUCAGAGCUUAUGGCUGUAUUUUUUCCAACGUAUUUGCUACCCACACCACGCACGGCAGCUUGUCUUACAAAUAAUUCUGUCAGUAUUCUCUUUAACACGGGCAUGAAGCAUCCACUGCUCUUCUAUGCAAGCAACCUUCCUUCUGUGCUCCAUUUGGGAUGCAGGACUACAUGCACUGAGAUUUGUUCCACUCAUUUUUCAUCUUUUCAUUGUCACAGUCUGCAAGGACGUCUUGCUUUCUUCUCACAGACUGAUGUGAUGGAUAGGGAUGAAUCGCCCUAUGUAUUCCAAGGUAUUACUGUGGGUUUUUUUUAA
rnacentral:lncRNA from 1 species